rnacentral:rRNA from 1 species
AGCUGAAAUCAGUCGAAGAUACCAGCUGGCUGCAACUGUUUAUUAAAAACACAGCACUGUGCAAACACGAAAGUGGACGUAUACGGUGUGACGCCUGCCCGGUGCCGGAAGGUUAAUUGAUGGGGUUAUCCUCGCGGAGAAGCUCUUGAUCGAAGCCCCGGUAAACGGCGGCCGUAACUAUAACGGUCCUAAGGUAGCGAAAUUCCUUGUCGGGUAAGUUCCGACCUGCACGAAUGGCGUAAUGAUGGCCAGGCUGUCUCCACCCGAGACUCAGUGAAAUUGAACUCGCUGUGAAGAUGCAGUGUACCCGCGGCAAGACGGAAAGACCCCGUGAACCUUUACUAUAGCUUGACACUGAACACUGGUCCUUGAUGUGUAGGAUAGGUGGGAGGCUUUGAAGUGUGGACGCCAGUCUGCAUGGAGCCAUCCUUGAAAUACCACCCUUUAAUGGCUGGUGUUCUAACGUGGGCCCGUAAUCCGGGUUGCGGACAGUGUCUGGUGGGUAGUUUGACUGGGGCGGUCUCCUCCUAAAGAGUAACGGAGGAGCACGAAGGUCAGCUAAUCCUGGUCGGACAUCAGGAGGUUAGUGCAAUGGCAUAAGCUGGCUUGACUGCGAGCGUGACGGCGCGAGCAGGUGCGAAAGCAGGUCAUAGUGAUCCGGUGGUUCUGAAUGGAAGGGCCAUCGCUCAACGGAUAAAAGGUACUCCGGGGAUAACAGGCUGAUACCGCCCAAGAGUUCAUAUCGACGGCGGUGUUUGGCACCUCGAUGUCGGCUCAUCACAUCCUGGGGCUGAAGUAGGUCCCAAGGGUAUGGCUGUUCGCCAUUUAAAGUGGUACGCGAGCUGGGUUUAGAACGUCGUGAGACAGUUCGGUCCCUAUCUGCCGUGGGCGCUGGAGAAUUGAGGGGGGCUGCUCCUAGUACGAGAGGACCGGAGUGGACGCAUCACUGGUGUUCGGGUUGUCAUGCCAAUGGCAUUGCCCGGUAGCUAAAUGCGGAAGAGAUAAGUGCUGAAAGCAUCUAAGCACGAAACUUGCCCCGAGAUGAGUUCUCCCUGACCCUUUAAGGGUCCUGAAGGAACGUUGAAGACGACGACGUUGAUAGGCCGGGUGUGUAAGCGCAGCGAUGCGUUGAGCUAACCGGUACUAAUGAACCGUGAGGCUUAACCUUACAACGCCGAAG